rnacentral:rRNA from 1 species
ACUAUCCUACGGGGGGCAGCAGUGGGGAAAAUUGCACAAUGGGGGAAACCCUGAUGCAGCGACGCCGCGUGAAGGAAGAAGUAUUUCGGUAUGUAAACUUCUAUCAGCAGGGAAGAAAAUGACGGUACCUGACUAAGAAGCCCCGGCUGACUACGUGCCAGCAGCCGCGGUAAUACGUAGGGGGCAAGCGUUAUCCGGAUUUACUGGGUGUAAAGGGAGCGUAGACGGCAGGGCAAGUCUGGAGUGAAAGGCGGGGGCUCAACCCCCGGACUGCUCUGGAAACUGCCAGGCUGGAGUGCAGGAGG